rnacentral:rRNA from 1 species
CAGUCGCCGCGGGAAUACGAAGGGGGCUAGCGUUGCUCGGAAUCACUGGGCGUAAAGGGUGCGUGGGCGGGUCUUUAAGUCAGGGGUGAAAUCCUGGAGCUCAACUCCAGAACUGCCUUUGAUACUGAAGAUCUUGAGUUCGGGAGAGGUGAGUGGAACUGCGAGUGUAGAGGUGAAAUUCGUAGAUAUUCGCAAGAACACCAGUGGCGAAGGCGGCUCACUGGCCCGAUACUGACGCUGAGGCACGAAAGCGUGGGGAGCAAACAGGAUUAGAUACCCCUGUAGUCCCUGUCUCUUAUAC